rnacentral:rRNA from 1 species
UACGAAGGGGGCUAGCGUUGCUCGGAAUUACUGGGCGUAAAGGGCGCGUAGGCGGAUAGUUUAGUCAGAGGUGAAAGCCCAGGGCUCAACCUUGGAAUUGCCUUUGAUACUGGUUAUCUUGAGUUCGGGAGAGGUGAGUGGAAUGCCGAGUGUAGAGGUGUAAUUCGUAGAUAUUCGGCGGAACACCAGUGGCGAAGGCGACUCACUGGCCCGAUACUGACGCUGAGGCGCGAAAGCGUGGGGAGCAAACAGG